rnacentral:rRNA from 1 species
UAAGGAAUAUUGGGCAAUGGACGCAAGUCUGACCCAGCCAUCCCGCGUGCAGGACGAAUGCCCUAUGGGUUGUAAACUGCUUUUGUUUGGGAAGAAAUGUAUUCUUUUAAGAGUAUUUGACGGUACCAGACGAAUAAGCACCGGCUAACUCCGUGCCAGCAGCCGCGGUAAUACGGAGGGUGCAAGCGUUAUCCGGAAUCACUGGGUUUAAAGGGUGCGUAGGCGGCCAGAUAAGUCAGAGGUGAAAGUUUCCGGCUCAACCGGGAGAUUGCCUUUGAUACUGUUUGGCUUGAAUCAGAUUGAGGUUGGCGGAAUGUGACAUGUAGCGGUGAAAUGCAUAGAUAUGUCAUAGAACAUCGAUUGCGAAGGCAGCUGGCUGGAUCUGUAUUGACGCUGAGGCACGAAAGCGUGGGGAGCAAACAGG